GACGAACGCUGGCGGCGUGCUUAACACAUGCAAGUCGAACGAAGUGGCGCACGGGUGAGUAACGCGUAAUCAACCUGCCCUUCAUAGGGGUAAACCAUGUGGACACGACUGCUAAUACCGCAUACUGAAGGAGGGGUUUGCGUUGGAUUGGGUAGUUGGAGGGGUAACGGCCCACCAAGGCGAUGAUCAGUAGUCGGGGUGAGAGGAUGAACGGGCACAAUGGGACUGAGACGCGGCCCAGACUCCUACGGGAGGCAGCAGGGGGGAGUCUUCGGCAAUGGACGAAAGUCUGACGGAGCAACGCGGCGUGAGGGAUGACGGCCUUCGGGGUGUAAAGCUCUGUUAAUCGGGACGCAGUACCGGAAUAGAAAGCCACGGCUAACUACGUGCCAGCAGCCGCGGUAAUAC
rnacentral:rRNA from 1 species